UACGAAGGGGGCUAGCGUUGCUCGGAAUGACUGGGCGUAAAGGGCGCGUAGGCGGUGCAUUUGGUCAGGCGUGAAACCUCCAGGCUCAACCUGGAGACGCCACGCGAUACUGGCGUGACUAGAGUUCGGUAGGGGAUCACGGAAUUCCUGGUGUAGCGGUGAAAUGCGCAGAUAUCAGGAGGAACACCAGUGGCGAAGGCGGCUAUCUGGACGGUUUCUGACGCUAAGACGCGAAAGCGUGGGGAGCAAACAGG
rnacentral:rRNA from 1 species